rnacentral:rRNA from 1 species
UACAGAGGGUGCGAGCGUUGUUCGGAAUUACUGGGCGUAAAGGGCUCGUAGGCGGCCAACUAAGUCAGACGUGAAAUCCCUCGGCUUAACCGGGGAACUGCGUCUGAUACUGAAUGGCUUGAAUCCGGGAGAGGGAUGCGGAAUUCCAGGUGUAGCGGUGAAAUGCGUAGAUAUCUGGAGGAACACCGGUGGCGAAGGCGGCAUCCUGGACCGGCAUUGACGCUGAGGAGCGAAAGCCAGGGGAGCAAACGGG